GCAGCCGCUGAGAACCACGUCUGCUCUGAGCCGGGUACUGCCUGUUCAGAACAAACACCGCUUCCCAGACGCUGC
ensembl:miRNA cja-mir-589 cja-mir-589